rnacentral:rRNA from 1 species
GAUGUUAAAAUGGCGAAAUCCAACCAAGCUCGGGUAAACGGCGGGAGUAACUAUGACUCUCUUAAGGUAGCCAAAUGCCUCGUCAUCAUACGAAAAGAAGGGUGGUUCUAGUGGUCUAGACUGCUAGUUCAACCCAUGGAUUCCCUGGAAGGCGUCGAUCACAAAGUUGCUCAAGGGUACUCGUUCUGUUCACUCGGAAGGAGUAGUCGGGAGUGGCUCGAUAUUAGGCUUUUGCGAAAGCAAGGUCUAGUGCCAAAUUGCGGGAAGCGUUCCUAUUCCUUUCACCGGGAGUGGGGGCGUGACCGGCAGCCAAUCCGGAGUGUGGAGCGGGACGCCGCUUUAUAUAACGGGAAGGUUCAGAGACUGUAGGGCACAACCACAGCAUUGCCUCACCCCCUUGAUCGAGUAACUCGAAUCACUGCUCUCGACUUCAGCAAUGAAGGAGGGAGACGUGCUUUGCGAAGCGAGAGAGAGGGGGGUCAACGGGAUGUUUUGGUACAGUAACAGUCCACCGAUAGGUUGCGAAAGCCCGGAGCGGGUGGCUUGCCUUUGUAGCAUUGGCCAGUGGCUCCAUAUAGGCCCAGUAACAACCGACUAAGGUGUUAAUUUGUGACGCGCAUGAAUGGAUUAAUGAGAUUCCCACUGUCCCUACCUACUAUCUAGCGAAACCACAGCCAAGGGAACGGGCUUGGCACAAUUAGCGGGGAAAGAAGACCCUGUUGAGCUUGACUCUAGGCACAAACGCGAGGUGAUUCUAAAGGUGUAGCAUAGGUGGGAGGACCUGGUCCGACCUUGAAAUACCACCACUUUCGACAUUGCCUUGCUAAUGCUGUAAAAAGUGAACGGCCCCCCUUCUCGUUGGCUCCUCGCGGGGUCAGCGGUUGGGUAAGGCUAUGUUCUGGCGUUUUCCUUGCUGGUCACGAUGGCUUGGCUACCUUGGGUUAGUACCUCGGGGCUACAAGCCGGGCUUCCGGGCUCGGUGAGUAUUGUUCUCGGGGGAACUGAGGGUCCGCUGGGUUGUCCUCUGGCUGGCUUCGAGGGGUACACAAGUUGUGUAGCAAACUAUUUUGUGUUAGGGAGUUUGGCUGGGGCGGAAAACUGCUACACGGCAACGGCAGUCUCCUAAGGUCCACUCAGAGACGACAGAAACGUCUCGUAGAGCAUAAGGGCAAAAGUGGGCUUAACUUACAUUUUCAGUAGUAAUGUGAAGCAAGAAAUUGAGGCCUAACGAUCCUUAACGGCGGGUGCCAGCCCACGUUUGAGGUGAGAGAAAAGUUACCACAGGGAUUGAUCAUAGAAACCGGGAGUCCCAGGGAUGAAAUACAUUAGUGCUUACGCUUUGGUACACCAUACCGGGCGCAGGUGCUAACCCUAAGUCACCGGGGCCGUAUAAUCAUUGCAGAAUACGGUCCCGAAUCAGGCAACGUACCUCGAUGCUGGAAAAGCCUAUACCAAAUGUCGCAGAUACCAAGUGUCCCCGGGUUGCACCCGGGCACAGAGCAGACCCCUACUCCAAGGAAGUAACCUCUCAACUUAUUCCCUUUGGGGAAUCGAGAGGCGAACGCUGUACGAGUAGGGCGAGCGGGUUAUAACUCUGCGGCAGGGUUCACCAGCAGGCAACAAGGCUACCCAAUACCCCCCAAUAGGGCCCCAUAACGGCGGGCGCCCGCGCUAGAGGGGGGUAAGGCAAUGGUAUGCUACGUGUCUCAACGACUGGAAAGGUACGGGUGUUGGCUUUCUUCGGUCUGAAAUUUUAGCUUUUAACAAAGCUAAAAAAGUAGGGUCGGGUUGGCUGCAUUCAAGGUACAGUCUACUCCCACACGCAAGUGUGUCCGAGUCCCAGGCAAACCCCAAGCUGCAUGGGGAGGGAAUCGGUGGCUCUCACGAUUCGACACCUUCGGGUGGCUUAUCUAUAAGGGGAGUCGGUACACAGGAACUGGCUUGUGGCCGCCAAGCGUUCAUAGCGACGUGGCUUUUUGAUCCUUCGAUGUCGGCUCUUCC